CAGGAGGUAGCUCAGCAGUUUCACGUCAUCAAGCUUAUGGAUUAUCAUCAAUGGGAACCUCAAGAUUCUCAUCCCAAACGUGAAAGGUAAAUCUUAUGUAAUGUCAUUUAAUACUGCAAGGCUCACAUCGUGUUCGCGAAUUUGAUCCUUCUGAAAUUCUUGUUAGUUGUUCAUUUUUCUUCUCUAAAUUUCGAAGUAUGAAUUGCAAGAAAGUGUUGUUUCAGUUUUUCCUAAUUGGUUUCGACUGCUUUAGAAUUUCUUCAUUGGGCAGAACGGUACAAAUAUUAGGACAAUGAACCUAGAAAUUAGUGGUUUAAUGGAAGAGGAUAGAAUAUAAGUGAACACGGGAAUAGAUUCUUCAAAAUCAUUAGAUUACUCGAUCAUUUUUAAUCUAAUCGUGUAUAUAGAGGAUUAUUUAUGAACGGAAUUAGAGUAUUAGGGGCUGAUAUUUAUGAUAUUAGAGGGAUUUCCAUUGCCAAUGGAGAAAAAGUUCGGAGGAUGCCGUCACUAUUUUGAUAUCGAGAAUGGUUUUUGUUCAGUGCAAGGAGAUAAGCUUUGAUAAACCUCAUUGAUCACAAUUUUUGUUGAAGAUGCUUUAGCUGAGAUGCUUUAGCUGAGAUGCUUUAACUCUUAAAUUAUUUAAACUAUAUAAUUGUUAAUUGAUAUGAAAACUAAACAUGGGAGAGGAGAAAAGUUCACUACAAUGAAAGAUUCAAGUCUUGUAUCCCUAUGUCCAUUUGCUUGUAUAUAUCUCUUCUACCCACAAUCACCAUUAGCCAAAAAUGGGAGUCUUAGGUACAGUUUUGUUUAAGAUCAAUUUAUCACUCAGCCCCAUCUGCUCUUCCGCCAUACUUUAUUCGUUUCUCCUGAAUCUUCAUGUUUCUAUAAAGUGUCUUUAGCCUUCAAUUUAGUUUUGACUAUUUUUCUUUUUAAAGAUGAAGGUUGUUCAAUCAGGUUGGACAUCUAAAACACCAACUUCGUUUAUUCAGAAAGUAUUAUAGUCCAAACUGAAACAGAUGACUAGAGAAUUACAAACUUUUGACCUGGUUGAUUGCAAUGUGUUCACUGUUUUAUAAGUAAUCUUAUGGCUCACUACUCUCACUAGUGACGACAAAUGGACUUCGGACUCGAUGUUUUCCAUUGGUCCAAGUGAUUGAACCAAAGCCUCUCUUCAUUGUGGAUACAGUUGGGGUAAAAACCACUUGAUAACUCUGCUUCUCAUAGUUCUUCGCAAAUUUCAAUUUCUCCGGAAUCACUUUGACCUCUACUUCCUGAGGUGCAUCUACACUGACUGUGUAAACUGUUUCACCAUUGCCACCAACAUUUGUAACUGUUCUGAUUACUUUCUUGCUUUCCUUGCCUUUCAAUUCAGAUACUGCUAUUGUUGGAUAGUUCAUGUUGGAUAUGUAGUCUGCAUUUGAAUUCUUGGGGCAAUCAAAUCCAUCAGGAAUAGUAGUUGUGAUGCUCUUAAUGGUGGUUAGAUUAUAACCUCGGCCGCAAAGGUAUAGUAAGUAGUCUGUUGUACUAGUUUCAUAGACUAGUCCUGGUUGUAAUGCUCCAUUGGUUGAUAUUUCUCCUGCCCCAUAAUCAUAAGGUGUGGCUACUGAUCCCGUAUCCAAAGUCAUUGGUGAUCCCAAGUUAUUCGUUUGGAUUGCUGUAAAUUUUUUUGAGAAAAAAUCGGUCAUUUAGUAAAAAUGUUCAGUUCAACAAGAAAAGGAAAUAAGAAUUUUUUUCUUCCAUUGUGAGGUUAAUUCCUUGCCUGUUGUCAUGAUGGCUGAUCUGAUUGCUGAGGGACUCCAUGUGGGGUUUUGAGAUUUUACAGAAGCCACUACGCCAGAGACAUGGGGGCAGGACAUUGAAGUUCCUGAAAUCACAUUGAAGAGUGGUGACUUCGUUGCUUGUGGAGUUGAGCUUGAAUCAUUGCCAAGCCAGGCUGCAAGAAUGUUCACUCCUGGUGCUGAUAUGUCCGGCUGCACAAAAAAAUUUCUUCAUGAAGGUUGAAAUUUUCAAGUUAAUAUAAAAUAAUCUUUCCCCUCGUCCUUCCAGGUAGAAGCUGCCUUUUACCUUGAUUAUGUUUAAUACUGCGGGAUUAGGCCCUCUGGAUGAAAAAUAUGUUAUAGCAGGUGCUGGCUUAUAGUUUAUUAUGGUCUCAGUGGGGAGAACUGUAGCAACUGGUUUCCUUCAGAAAAUUUCAAACUCAAUUAGCCAUUGGAGAUCAUGAAGUUCAAGCUAGUAAAGAAGAUAUGGAAUUGAAGCUCACUUCACAUCCCAGCUUUCAAUCUAGAUUGAUUAAACAGAGGAUAAUUUUAACUUUUACCUGCUUGAGUUAACAUAGGAGAGGAUCUCAAGACCAUCCUUUUUACUAAUAACUGUCAUGGGAGUAGAAAACUUCUCUGCAACUAAUUUUGAGUCGUCAUCAAUCAAAACUAGCCCAACCCCUCCAAGAUUCUUCACUGUUUCAGCCUGACUUUGCCAAUCCGAACCGCCUCCUUCGACACUGUUUUCGCAAAUAACUAUCUUUCCCUUCACUUGAGCUUCAUCCAUGGAAUCUUCGGAACAAAUCCUAAUUAAAUUGAGAUAUAACUGUUAGUAUAAAUACUUUAAAUCUAUAUAAUAGGUUAAUCCAAGAUCAUGUCAAAUUGUGAAGGUUAAUCCGAGAUCAUUCAUGUCAAAUUGUCAAAGAACUAGUUAUCCAUCCCAUGUAAUUGAUGAUGGCUAUAAAAUGACUAUUCUUUUUCCGAUAAAACUCAGAAGGCCAUAAAUUAUUGAUAAUUCACAUACAUAUUUAUUAAAUACCUCUAACAAUAACAACCGGAGAACUCAUCAGAAAGCUUUGUAAGAAAUCUUAAUAAAUUACUCAGCAUGCCAUUUCUUAUAUACCUUGCACUGUCUUCACUGUCACUCGCUUUCUUGGCUGACUUGCCUUCUAUUAGUGGGUAUACAGGAGACUUUUGAAGAUCAGAAAAGUUUAUACCUUCGCCCUGCAUUAUAAUUUUUUUAUUUGAAAUAAUUUAAUGUGGUUUUAGCUGUUUUCAUUGCAGUUGCUGAAGGAAUAUGAAUUACCUUGAUCACUUUUUUGUUGCCCAGCACAACAUCAGACUCAAAAUCCCUAUCUAUGGUGGAGGCAGCCACUGUUAGAAUCCACGGCGCGUCGUUCACCACCGUUCCAGAACUGGGACCGUCGUUUCCGGCGGAGCAGACAACUGUAAUGCCCUUCUCAACCGC
rnacentral:lncRNA from 1 species